rnacentral:rRNA from 1 species
UACGAAGGGGGCGAGCGUUGUUCGGAAUUACUGGGCGUAAAGAGCUCGUAGGCGGUUUGUCGCGUCGAAUGUGAAAACCCGGGGCUCAACCCCGGGCCUGCAUUCGAUACGGGCAGACUAGAGUUCGGUAGGGGAGUCUGGAAUUCCUGGUGUAGCGGUGAAAUGCGCAGAUAUCAGGAGGAACACCGGUGGCGAAGGCGGGACUCUGGGCCGAUACUGACGCUGAGGAGCGAAAGCGUGGGGAGCAAACAGG